GGGCUCUGGGCUACUCCAACCCAUGUGACGUUACCAAACUGUUGCCUCGGCGGGGUCACGCCCCGGGUGCGUCGCAGCCCCGGAACCAGGCGCCCGCCGGAGGAACCAACCAAACUCUUUCUGUAGUCCCCUCGCGGACGUAUUUCUUUACAGCUCUGAGCAAAAAUUCAAAAUGAAUCAAAACUUUCAACAACGGAUCUCUUGGUUCUGGCAUCGAUGAAGAACGCAGCGAAAUGCGAUAAGUAAUGUGAAUUGCAGAAUUCAGUGAAUCAUCGAAUCUUUGAACGCACAUUGCGCCCGCCAGUAUUCUGGCGGGCAUGCCUGUCCGAGCGUCAUUUCAACCCUCGAACCCCUCCGGGGGAUCGGCGUUGGGGAUCGGGACCCCUCACACGGGCGCCGGCCCCUAAAUACAGUGGCGGUCUCGCCGCAGCCUCUCCUGCGCAGUAGUUUGCACAACUCGCACCGGGAGCGCGGCGCGUCCACGUCCGUAAAACACCCAACUUUCUGAAAUGUUGACCUCGGAUCAGGUAGGAAUACCCGCUGAACUUAAGCAUAUCAAAAGCCGGAGGAA
rnacentral:rRNA from 1 species